rnacentral:rRNA from 1 species
UGGGGAAUAUUGCACAAUGGGCGAAAGCCUGAUGCAGCAACGCCGCGUGAGUGAUGAAGGUCUUCGGAUUGUAAAGCUCUGUCUUUUGGGACGAUAAUGACGGUACCAAAGGAGAAAGCCACGGCUAACUACGUGCCAGCAGCCGCGGUAAUACGUAGGUGGCGAGCGUUGUCCGGAUUUACUGGGCGUAAAGGGUGCGUAGGCGGAUGUUUAAGUGAGAUGUGAAAUACCCGGGCUUAACUUGGGUGCUGCAUUUCAAACUGGAUAUCUAGAGUGCAGGAGAGGAGAAUUGGAACUUCCUAGUGUAGCGGUG